UACAGAGGUGCCGAGCGUCAGGCGGAAUCACUGGGCUUAAAGCGUGUGUAGGCGGAUCGUUAAGUAUCUUGUGAAAUCCCACGGCUCAACCGUGGAACUGCUGGGUAUACUGGCGAUCUUGAGCAGCUUAGGGGCAGACGGAACAAGUGGUGGAGCGGUGAAAUGCGUAGAUAUCACUUGGAACGCCGACGGUGAAAACAGUCUGCUGGGAGCUUGCUGACGCUGAGACACGAAAGCCAGGGGAGCGAACGGG
rnacentral:rRNA from 1 species